UAAAACCUUGGCACUCAAAUAUUUGCAAAAUCAGAAAUGAAAGGGGCGUUAGCCAUUAAUUGGUUAACAAAGGCAAUGUACUUGAAGUCCUUUUAAUUACGAUGGUCAUGGGAACUUUUGGCCAACUACAUGGUGUAUUUGGGUGGAAAUUACCUACCUGGGCAGUGUACCCUUGCAAGGAUCACUCAAGUUAUAAAGAUGGUCCAACGUGAUAUGCUAAUUCAAAAAAAUCCCGAUACAAUCUUUCUCAAGAAUAUCAUAUGGAUUUUCCCUACUUCAGGUAUGUUAAGGCCAUCUCUUGUUUCUUUUCGCAUGAUCCAUACGAUACGAACGAAACGUGCAAAUGCACAAAUUCCAUAUAUGAAUAGAAGUGCCUAUGUUCUUGAAUUUUCAUAUGUCUUAUUAUUCCAUCGUAUGUUCAUGGGUCUCAGAAAAUACGUAAAAUAAUUUUAUGAUAUUAAUCACAGGUAUAAUGGUCUUAUGACGUACCGAGAGAUUUUGUUAUCGUAUUUCAUAUGCAUUUCAUGCAUUUAUACAUGUAUAUUGAUCCAUGACUCAGACGGCGGUAUAUACGCGUAUAUAUAUAUAUAUAUAUAUGUAAUCAAAUGGCGUUAUAUACACAUACAUAUGUAUGUAUUCAAACGGCGUUAUAUACAUGUAUAUAUGUAUGUAUAUAUAUGUAUACGGGAUAUGGGAAAGGUUAUGGCGUUAUAUACGCACCACCACCUGAUCAGCUGGUAUAUGAUGAUGAUUUUGCCCACAGUGGCCGAUAUGAUAUGAUGGGAUGCCCUCAGAGGCUGAUGAUGUUAUGAAACAUGUACCUAUGCACAACAUGUCAUUCAUACGCAUAUGCAUGACGUUAAAAGUAAUUUAUGAUUUACAAAGUUGUUCAGACUUAUAGGUUGAGUCAUGUACUCUAUAUGUUUUACAUGUCUCUUAUGUAUUUAUUUAUGUGCCUUAUAUACUCGGUACAUUAUUCGUACUGGCGUCUCUUUUGCCUGGGGACGCUGCGUUUCAUGCCCGCAGGUCCCGAUAGACAGGUCGAGAGUCCUCCAAGUAGGCUAUCAGCUCAGCGGAAGAUGUUGGUGCGCUCCAUUUGCUUCGGAGUUGCUUGUUUGGUUAGUAUGAUUUAGACGUGUAUUAUUUGGUAUGGCGGGACUCUACCCCGACCUUUAUGACAUUUAUGUACUCUUAGAGGCUUGUAGACAUAUGUCAUGUAUGUGAAAGAUUGUACGGCCUUAUCGGCCUAUGUUUUGAGUUUAUAAAUGCUUUUGUUGGCCUAUUAGGCCCUUAUGUCACAUAUAAAUGAUGAUGUAAUAAGAAAGAUUCGUUUCGUUGGUAUUCGGUUGAGUAAGGUACCGGGUGCCCAUCGCGGCCCAUCGGUUUGGGUCGUGACAGAUACAAACGAAACAAGCAAAUGCACGACUUCCAUACGUAACUCUAUUCAUAGAAAUAUUAGAGGUUCCUAUGUUCUUGAUUCCCUAUAUGUCUUAUUAUUCUAUCGUUUGUUCAAGGGUCUCAAGAAUACGUAUGUUGGUAAAUUUUAUUUCAUGAUAUUAAUCAAAGGCAUAAUGGUCUUAUGAUGUACCGAGAAAUUUUAUUAACGUAUUUCAUAUGCAUUUCAUGCAUUUAUACAUGCACAUUGACUCAUGAUCAGAUGGUGUUAUAUACGCAUAUAUAUAUGUGUAUAUGGGAUAUGGGAAAGGUUAUGGCGUUAUAUACACACCACCACUUGAUCAGCUGGUAUACGUUAAUGAUUUGCCCACAGUGGCUGAGAUUAUAUGAUGGGAUGCCCUCAGAGGCUUGAUGAUGUUAUGUACUUACAUACCUAUGCAUUACAUGACAUACAUAUGCAUAUGCAUGACAUUAUAAAUAUUUCAUGAUUUACAGAGCUAUCAAGACUUACAAGUUGAGUCCUUACUCCAUGUUUCUUCCAUGUCCUUUAUAUAUGGAUUUACAUGCCUUACAUACUCAGUACAUUAUUCGUAUUGACGUCCUUUUGUUGGGGAUGCUGCAUUCAUGCAUGCAGGUAUAGAUAAUCAGUUUGACAAGCCCUUAUAGUAGACGAGAUUAGCAUUCAACAAAGGAUCGGUAAGACUCCACCUCAUUCGGAGAGCAGUCGAGUCUAUGAUUCAUCGUGUCAGAGUUUUGCUACAGACUUAUGGGUAGGUUGGUACCCUGUCCCAUUUUAUGUCAAAUAAUCUUAGAGGCUUUUUAGAUAAAGGUUCAUUUUGUACAGUAUGUCAGAGGUCUUGACGGCCCAUAUGUAUUCAUAUUUUAAGAAAAAUGAUUCAGUGAUACAGUGUUUUCCCACUUACACUUGUACAUUAUGAGUUGUGGCCCAUGAUAGCUUGAAAAAACAAAAUAAGUUAUAGCGUGG
rnacentral:lncRNA from 1 species